GGGUAACAAGAUGGCGGCGGAGACGGUGGAGCUCCAUAAACUGAAGCUUGCUGAACUAAAGCAGGAAUGUCUUGCUCGUGGUUUGGAGACCAAGGGAAUAAAACAAGAUCUCAUCAACCGGCUCCGGGCGUAUCUUGAAGAGCAUGCUGAAGAGGAGGCAAAUGAAGAAGAUGUACUGGGAGAUGAAACAGAAGAAGAAGAACCAAAGCCCAUAGAACUGCCUGUCAAAGAGGAAGAACCCCCUGAGAAAACUGUUGAUGUGGCAGCAGAGAAGAAAGUGGUAAAAAUUACAUCUGAGAUACCACAGACUGAGAGAAUGCAGAAGAGAGCUGAACGAUUCAAUGUACCUGUGAGCUUGGAGAGUAAGAAAGCUGCCCGGGCAGCAAGAUUUGGGAUUUCUUCAGUUCCAUCAAAAGGUCUGUCAUCUGAUGCCAAACCUACGGUUAACCUGGAUAAACUAAAGGAAAGAGCCCAAAGAUUUGGUUUGAAUGUCUCUUCAAUAUCCAGAAAGUCUGAAGAUGAUGAGAAACUGAAAAAGAGGAAGGAGCGAUUUGGGAUUGUUACAAGUUCAGCUGGAACAGGAACCACAGAGGAUACAGAGGCAAAGAAGAGGAAAAGGGCAGAGCGCUUUGGGAUUGCCUGAUGAAAAGCUCUUAAUGCUUUCUGUUCUCCAGUGGUUUCCAUCUCUCUGACUUUUCUUGGUCAUAUGUAUACCUAAAUGCACAGUCAUGUGUCUAGGUUCUGCCUCGCAGUGAGAGAGCAUGUACCCUGGGUACAUCCAGGAACUUCAGCAGCAAUUUGACUCAUUGCUGUUCCAACUUUAAGGUUGUUGUUGUUGUUGUUUUUUAAUUAUUAUUUUGCUUGUUAAUAAAAAACAAAUAGAAAAGAAAAAAAAAAAGAAUCAGGACUCAGAAUGGCUUGACUCUUCUAACAGCAGCACUAGAUGGUAGGUGAAAAGUAACAAUGCCUUCAAAAUUGUAAAGGAAAAUAAAUUCCAAACUGGAAUUUCACACCCGAUCAAGUAUGAGAAGAGACAUUUUUCAGACAUGCGAUUCACUCAAACUACUUUCCAUGCACAUCUUUUACUGCAAGCACUCUACCAGAAUGAGGUAAUAAAUCAAGGGGAAAAACAGAGACUCAGGAAACAGGAGA